CUUUACCAUGGACCCACCAAAGGGAGAGAAGGAAGAAGAGAUGGUGGAAGCAGGCCAUGCCACUUCUCUCGGGGUCAGAAUUCAGAAGAAGGAAGGGAGAAAAGAAACCUUGGAUUUAAGCCAGGUGGAGGAGACCUGAAGAAGUCUGUCAGCAAGCCCUCAGCAAUUGUGGAAGCCGACAUGGAGAUGGAGUCUUCAUCAAUCCAAGUCCUUGAGUGACCGUGAUGAA